UUCUGGGCGAAAGAGAUGGUGAGAUGGCCAUACCCUGGGGUUGUCGGCCCGUGGGCCCCGAGAGCUGCUCUGGGGCAUGGGGGUCUGAAAUGUGGCUGGAGUGCAGCGCAGUUUAGGGGGACUUGGUGGUUGGUGACUUGGGACUGUAGUGUUUGUGACAAUCUGGGGAUGCUGAGCUGCUAUGUGAUCUGUGUGGCUUGGUGGUGGGCUGCAGGAGGAGCUUCUCACCCACCCUGAGCACUGGAACCACAACAUCCAGCCCAGCCCGGCCAUCCCCAGGGCCUGUGUCAGGCUGAGUGACUGAGGGGAGCAAGAGCUGCUCUGCAAAGGGGCCAUGCAACCCUCUUGCCCCAUCCUGUUCCCUCCUGGCAGCACUCUGCACACCUCCCCUGCCCUGGGCAGAGGCAGCAACGCAGCAUUCAGCCAGGAUGCCUUAUGCCAUGCCUCAGCCCGUUCUGCGAUGGCAGCACAGAGUGCCCAUCCCCUGUGCCCAGGCUUGUGGUGCAGUGCUGGCGCUGCCCCAGGCACAGAGCCACUCUGCCAGGAACAGGCAGUGUAGCAGAGGCUGCAGCACAGCUGCCACCAGCCCACUCACUCCCGGGAUAUUUUUAGGGCUGCCUGUGCUGAUAGCUCCUCAUCCGGACCGCAGGGUUCCUUUCCCAGCCCUCCCCGGGGUGCAGCUUCCAGGGGGGCAGUGUGGGUGUUGGGUGAGGAUGCUCGGGGGCUGUGGCCAUGCUGCCUGCCACAGCGCAGCCCGCUUGGCCCUGGGCCUGCUGGCAGCAGCUGCUGGGCAGGAGCUGGCUGGAGCCCAUGGGGAGCGCACGUAGCUGGGAGACAGGAGGGAAAUCUAGCAGGCCUGUAAAUAUUCACUUAUUUAUUUAUAUGCUGCAUAUAUAUUGUAUAUAUCAUAUAUGUGUGUGUGUGUGUGAAAGACACUUGUGGUUUGAAUGCAGUUUCUAAGGCAGAGCUGCCCUUAGGCAAGCAAUAAGUAAGCAAUACAUAACUAAGCGGGCUGUGAACGCAGUAGUGAGUGUGUGCUGAGGUCUUGCUUCUUCCUCCAGACUCUGACAGUUUUGCUGCUUUUAAGAGAUCGUAUUUGUGACUCCCCCAGACUGCACCAGCCCUUGAGCUUGAGGGAGUUUCCCAGCUUGCAGAGAAGGCUGCAGGUAGCAGGGCAGGAAUGAUGCUGUGAGAUAGGCAAUCCCAGAUACAUGUACAGACUGGGAGAAGAACUUAUUGAGAGCAGCCUUGAAGAGAAGGACUUGGGAGUCCUGAUGGGCGAGAAGCUCUUUACUUGGUGAGGCUUUGGCACAGAUUGCUGAGACAAGCUGUGGAUGCCCCAUCCCUGGAGGUGCUCGGGGCUGUUGGAUGGGGCCAUGGACAGCCUUAUCUAGCACCUGAUGUAGUGGCUGGCAACCCUUCCUGUGGCAGCUGUGUUGGAUCUAGAUGAUCUUUGAGAUCCCUUCCAACAGAAGCCACUCUUAUGAUUUAUCCUAUGAUUCAGUUUAUCAGAUAUCAGAGGAGUGGCUGGAGAUGAGAUGGCCUUCAGAUAGCAGAGUGGAGGGAGGAUAUCACUGCCACGUGGCUCCAUCACCACCUUGAGCCUUCUGCACAUGCACAAAGACUCAUUUGUGUCAGUGCUGUUAAUUUUAAAAGUACCAAAACUGCAGGAUGGGAAAUGCAGCAUCUUUGGGCCAAGGAGCUGACGUCCAGUGUAACAGCAGCAGGUGGAUCAAGAGAUGUCGUGCCAGGUUCUAGCAACACGUGUGUGUGAGGGGGUCGGGCAGGCUGUCCUUGGCUGAGCCAUUUCUUGCAGCUGCAGGGACACCAGAGGAGGAGCGUUCCCAUGCAGUGCAUGGGCCCCACGGUCCUUACCCCUGCUACUGAAACCUGUGCAGGUUCCCCCUGCAAGCGAAGAAGAGGUGAGGGCAGGAAUAGCUCCAGCAGUGGUUCUGGGUCAGGAAGGUAAGGGGGCAGUGGGAGCUGGCUGGGGCAUGGGUCUUGGUAGGCAAUGCUCCUUAGUUGCCUUAUUUCCAGGCCUUUUUCAAGGUGAUGGUGGUGCUUCUUAGGCCUUCUGUGCCUGUUCUGAAGGUAAGGAAGCCUGAAUCCAUGCAUCCUUGGCUCAUGUCUGACCUAGCCAUAGUGCUGCAAUGCAAACCAAAGCUGCAGCCAUGUGUGGGAGAGCUCACUUUCUUUCUGGCUUUCUUCCUUCGAUUUUUCCCUCCCCUCCUCCUCUGCUUUCCAGCAGAUCCUCCAUCCUGCAGCACAGUCCGUCCCUGCCAUUCCCCCGCACCUUCCUUUGCAGCCAGGGCUGUGAGCGUGCUGUGGUUGUGAGUGUUCCAACAGCAUUUGGGUCAGCCACAACCGUAAGCCUUCAUCUUGUCAUCUCUAUAAUUGAUUUUAAAAACUAUUAAAUGGCACCCGACCAAGCAAUAGUCGCUGGGGGUCUCCAUAUGUUCCCAGCCGUUGAUGUCUCCCCAUUAAAAUUUGGCGCACGGACAGACCUUGAAGCAUAGCUGUUAAUGCACGUAGUUUAUCUAACCUGAGCCUUAUUAAUUCUUUAUAAUACAUAUUUUUAAUUAAAAUCCUACAUCAUUGUUAACUGGAAAAGCCCGAGUGUGCUGCAUGGAUGCUCCAGUUCUUACGGGCCAGACCUCUCCUUCUGCCCAAGGAGAAGUUUCUCUCUCAGGGUCUGUGUUGUACAGUGCAGCAGCCACGGUGCUGUUAGCUGCAUUUCUCCCUUCCCAGGGUACAAAGCAGUCUGUCGUGUUUCCGCAUGUUGCUCUGCUCUUCAAAAUGCCCUGUCCUCCCUCCAGCUGAGGAUUUGUUCAAAAAUUAACGCAUGUCUUUCAGUGAGAGCCACAACGCUGCUGCUCUUAAGGUGGCUAGAAGGACAGAAAUGCAAAGUGCCGUCCCCAGACUGAGCGUGCUGUUCAGCAAAGGGCAGAGAGCACACUUAAGAAUAAUGCACAACAAUCAUGUGAGGUGAAACAAGUUUGGCGGGAGUGCCAAAGACAAAACACGAGUGUGUUACAGCCCACGUUUUGUCCCCCGACUCUGUGCAUCAGCAGAGGUAAUCCCUGUCUGGCUAUUAGUGGAAAUAGAUUUUUGCUGUGGUAUUUAGAGGUAUUUAAUGAAUAAUAAUAUAUUGCAUUCAGUGGUAUCAAGUCUGAUGUGAUGACAUGCAAUUUGGGGAGGAGGAUUGUGUGGGCACUGAGUGAUAUCCUGCCCAACAGGAGUGCCUCAGAGGAGCUGGUGGUGUUGAUGCAAGGUGGCUGCAGGGUGUAGGGCAUCCACAGUGACCCACUGCUUGGGGCCAUAGCCUGGUCCUGCUGUACUCAGCUUCCUGCUGGUGUGGCCACAUCUGUGUCUUCUCUCUUGAGUCCCUCCUCACUCAUGAGGGUGAUGCUGUGGGACAUGUGGGUGGACGUAGGCUCCAUGCCAGGGCUUAGUGACUCAAUCACGAGUGGGUUUUUGUGGACCAAGAUGUGCCACAGUUCUUGCCCUUUCCUUUGGUCAGUUUUGCUGGAAAAGCUCCAGAGCAUUCCAGAAAGCAGCGUGGCAAUAUGAUAGAAUUUAAUCAGGCUUAAUUAUUCCCCUGCCGUCCAUCGCCUAGCAACGUCCAGCUUGACAUCUGCCUGCGAAUGAAAUGUGUAAGCUAAGUGGGAACACGCUCAGACUAAAGCCCUACUAUUCAAACCAGAUCACUCCACUCAUCAUUGCUGUAAUUCACCUCACGGCUCUUAGGCAGCGGCCGAGUACCUGCUUUCCAUAAAUGUUCAGCACUCUCCUCCCUGGCUUUUUCCUGGCACGGAAGCUGUCUGACGUUGUGCUGGGCUCCUUCCAGUAUGCUGACACCUGAUAGUAUGGUAUAGGGUUUCCAAGUGUCAAACCUGGGCGCCGUGGCAAGCCCCGGCCUUGUCGCUAUCUGCCUCCAUGCAACAGGUCUCUGCUUAUCUGGCUCCUCAUCGAAAUCAGGUCGCCUGCCGUGCUCGCUGAGCAUGCAAGCAGUGAGCUCGCGGUGCUUAAGUCCAAAGUAGAUACAGAGUGGAGAACUUGUUCUACCCCACUGGAAGGCUGCCGAGAUGAGGAGAGGAGCAAGCUAGAAAUGAGUGCUCGUGCCGCCCAAGCCUGCUGGGGUGAAGGCAGCCUCCUGGGCCGGGUGAGCACAACUGGUGUCUGAGCAUCCCAGGGAACCAGGGGCUGGUGUGUGUGGUAAGGGGCUGAUCUGCAACAUGGGGUGCUCGGAUGCGGUUCUGGCCCCUCUCCACCCCUUAGGACAGUUGGUGCCAACACUAUCAGGGUGUUGGCAUGAAUCGGUUCAGCUUCUGCAUUACGCAGUUAGCAACGGAAGAUCCAGCAGGAUGUCAGUGCGACACACGCAUUCCUAGUGGAGGACUGGGGUGGAUCUGUGAGCCCAGCUGCAAGGAUGCAGCUCGUGCAGCAGGCUGGCAUGGCUUCAUUUGUGCUGAACACAAAGCUGAGGUCACAGUUUUGUACGCCAGGGGCCGUGUGAGCACCUCGGCUCCCCAUGGGCUCUGUACGUGCUCUGCCCCUCACCCAGCGGGGAGUGGCUCGGGCAGGGCUCAGCCUCGCUGCCACAAUGUGUGCGUAGCACCUGGGAUUGCAAUGCCACCACCCUGCCAGCGGUCCUAGCCACAGCCCCUUAAAUUCACGCGGCUCUUGACGUUUCUCGUGUUAGCAGUGAAUCAUGGAGGGUGGAAACGGGAAAUCACCGGGUUUAUUUGCUGCCCUGAAAAUACGAGGUCGCGUAGCAGAGCGGCUCUGAUGCGAAGAUGGGACUGCUGGUGUUCAUGCGCAACCUGCUGCUCGCCCUCUGCCUCUUCCUGGUGCUGGGCUUUCUAUACUACUCCGCCUGGAAGCUGCACCUCCUCCGCUGGGAGGACUCCAAUUCAGUGGUUCUUUCCUUUGACUCCGUUGGACAUACGAUAGGCUCAGGAAGGAGAGAGAGAAAAGCUGUGGCCAUUGUGCUUCCGCUGUCCAUCCCAUCUCACCUUGCUGCAGACCCAGGAAAAGACAGAGCCCAGAAAGAACCCAAAGAGACAAUGGCAGCUGCAGACCCAGCCAUUCCCAAGUAUGACAAACUGGGCUUUCUCCUGAACCUGGACUCAAAAUUGCCUCCAGAAUUGGCAUCAAAGUAUGCAAAUUUCUCUGAAGGAGUGUGCAAGCCUGGUUAUGCAUCAGCACUCAUGACUGUCAUCUUCCCAAAGUUCUCGAAGCCGGCACCAAUGUUCUUAGAUGAUUCCUUCAGGAGAUGGGCUCGUAUCAGGGACUUUGUACCCCCCUUUGGAAUUAAAGGACAAGAUAAUUUGAUCAAAGCCAUCCUGUCAGCAACCAAAGAUUACCGUCUAACUCCAGCUCUUGACAGUCUCAGCUGUCGACGAUGUAUUAUUGUGGGAAAUGGUGGAGUACUUGCAAAUAAGUCAUUGGGGUUAAAAAUUGAUGACUAUGAUGUUGUUGUCAGGCUGAACUCGGCUCCGGUGAAGGGGUUUGAAAAAGAUGUGGGUGGCAAAACAACCCUCCGGAUCACAUAUCCUGAAGGUGCAAUCCAGAAAAUGGAGCAGUAUGAGAAGGAUUCCCUCUUUGUUCUGGCGGGAUUCAAAUGGCAGGAUUUCAAGUGGCUGAAGUACAUUGUUUACAAGGAGAAAGUGAGCGCCUCUGACGGCUUUUGGAAGUCAGUGGCGACCCGUGUCCCCAGAGAACCUCAUGAGAUACGUAUCCUGAAUCCCUACUUCAUCCAGGAGGCAGCUUUCAGCUUCAUUGGACUGCCUUUCAACAACGGCCUGAUGGGCAGAGGGAACAUCCCCACCUUGGGAAGCGUAGCAAUAACCAUGGCGCUCCACAACUGUGAUGAGGUGGCGGUCGCUGGGUUUGGCUAUGACAUGAGUUCACCCAAUGCACCGCUGCACUACUAUGAGAACAUCAAGAUGUCUGCCAUCAAAGAGGUCACUGUCUGUUAAUGUAGGAGAAGUUUCAGAUCUGCCGGGAGCAUAAAAAAAGGAAACGUGGACAUGGAGAAGCCACCUGUUUGACAGCGUUUUGGCGGAACGAAGGCCUCAUAUGCCGUUCCUGUGCAUAAGUCCUGGACGCACAACAUCCAACGGGAGAAGGAGUUCCUGCGGAAGCUGGUGAAAGCCCGAGUCAUCACAGACCUGACCAGUGGGAUCUGAGUGGCUGCAGCCCCUGCCUGAAAGGGAGGAGAGGAAGACGCAUGCUGCGGCUCUGGGAGCAGGCACUGGCAGCCCCCCACAAGAAUCCCACUUCCCUGGAGACACACAGAGAUGCCCGGGUGCUCUGGGAAGGCCCUCUCGCAUCGCUGGGCUGCAGGAGGGUUGCAUCUGCUGCCUCCAGUCCUGGAGCUGGCAGGAGGUGGGCGAGGGGCUGAGUGGGCAGUUCUUGAACUCUGCAGACUCACAGAUGGACCUUAUGUGUCCAGAAUUAAACAGGAAAGACUCAGGAGAGAGAAGAAAGAUUUGUGAAUAAAGCGAUUUGUGCCAAAUGGGAGGUGACGCUGCCCUGAGGCAGCAGUGCCUGAAUGUACAAAGUAUUAUUUUUUAAAAGAAACUCUGCUGGAACCAUCCUAGAAUUACCAAGGUGCAAAGCAAAGUCUGCUUGUGCACAGCCCUGCGGAAAGCUCGGCCUCUCCACGCUCAUCUGCAUUGUCACCGCCCUCAGACCUUUCCCCAGGAAAACAAAUCCGUCCAAAAAGUCAGUGUUGUUGGUGCUGCUAUAAUUUAAAGGGAGGUUGGCUUUCCCUCGUUCUCCACUUGGAGCUUCUCAUUGGAGAUGAGCAUGGGUUUGUUUUUCUGCACUUUUCCUCACUUCCUGCGUAGAAGCGGCAGCAGCAGCCACUCACUUGGCUGCGUUUUCCAUGGCUGUUUGCUCUGCCCUGAUGCUGGAACUGAUGGCUCUCUGCCUGCAGCAGACCCGCCGUCCUGCCCGUCAUGGCGCUGCGGAGCCCACCUCGUUGUGCUCAGGGCUGUCAGGUCCGUGCCUGCUGUGCAGAGCCCUCAUGGAGUCCGUGCGGAUCAGCGUCACCAUUUCUGGACAGCAUCCUGCUUUGUUUUUGUGGGGGAGAUCAGUGGUUUGUUUUUCGGAAGGAGGUCAGAUGCUGCGUGGGGAUCUGAAGCUUUGCAGUUGAAGAGCAGGCCACCGAAGAUGUUUUAUGUUCCGGACUCAAUCAUGUUGCCUAUUUAAGUGACUUGUGACCUCAGCAAUGAUGGAGCGUGCUGGCAAGUGUGGAAGCCCGCUGGGAACCCUCACCUUCUGCUCGGCCCCUGCUCACUUUGUGUCCAAGCUCCUCCUGUGCUGCUCGAGCACUGCUGCUCCUCCAGCUCUCAGGAGCAUGUCCCUUCCUUUGCUGUCUUGGUCCCGAGAUGCAGUAUUUGCACAUUUGAUUUGUGUACGUAUUUCAGAGGAGCUGGAAUAAACUGAGUGCAAGGACAGCGGGAUGAUCUCAUCCACCUGGAGAGCGUGGGCAGGAGGGGGACUGCCGGGGAAAAUUGCAGUGCACCCUCUGAGCCACGUCCCUGUGUCGAGGCCAGCGCUGAGGUUGGUGGAGGGUGAUCCCGCAGUGAUGCUGGCUGGAUCGUGGUGCUGUAUCUGGCAUAGUCCAAGGACUGCAGUUUGCCUUGCUCUGAGCUGAGAGGAUAACGUGGCCCUGGCACAGAAUUCUCAGAGAAGGGCUCGCGUGGGCCUCUUUCCCACUGACUUGCCAGGGCUGUGACUCAGGGGAUGCGCAGGAGGGGCAGGCAGUGACCUAGGGAUUGCAGGCUACAGGAGGCAGAGGGAUGGUGGGAGUUUCUCCCUUCCAUUCUCCUUCCAGUUUCCCUUCUCCUGUCCCUCUCCCCUUCCAGCCGGCCGCUCCCUGCUCCCUCCGGUACGUGCUUGCCCCAGGAUGCUCCAUGAGGUUUCCAGCCCAAAAAGAUGGGCUUUCCAGCAGAUUUGGAGCAUCUGCUGUGGCAGAUAACUCAUGUGGGUAUUAUCUCUCCCUUAGCAAUUCAUAUGUGGCAGCCUGGGCCCAGAACCAUCAGCAGCAGAGGCUCUGCCACAACAGCAGUAGGGGUGCCUGUGCUGGACCUGACCCUAAUGCUUGAACUGGGUCUUCAACUGCUGCUGUGGGAGCCCCGGGGCUGGGCCCCAUCCACAUGCUGCAUGAGCCAAGAUGCCAGAGAGCAGGGAGCUGCAGCCAGGAGGAGGGUGAAGAGCUUUUGGUGUCAGUGCUGGGCUCCUCACUACCACCAGAGGAGCUGUGGAGGAAGCUCCCCCAUGGUGACCUGUGAUAGUGUCAGUUUGAUUCAGCUGGUUUUACUGAGCGCUACGAAGCUCUGGGGCACUGUUAUCUUCCAGCUCACUGGCUCCAGGCCCACGGAGGGAGCUCCACUUUCCCUGGCAUCCCAGCUCCCCACCACGGCUGGGGACAGGCCCUGAUGGGAAGCUGUGCCUACUGCCCAGGGGGGUGAUCUCAGGCUUUUCCCUGUACCCCAGUGGGGCACCUGGGAGCUGAGCACAUGGCCCAGGGUCACCUGCAAGUGGAAGGAGAGAAGGUGGAAAUGCUGGGGGACCACAGCUCCUUUGUCUCACUGUCCCGUUGACAUUGGUGGGACAAGCGCAGCCGCGGAACAUCCUCUGGCCAAGCUCUGGGGGUGAUGCUGGCACAUUCCACCCCGCACCCCAGGGCAGCGCACAGCACUGAGUUUCACUCCUGGCAGCUGCUCCUUUGGCUGCCUCCUCGCGUGCACCUGCAGCCACCUCCCGCCCUCCGAAUCGCAGCAGUCCUGCCAGCUCAAAGCGGUGCGCGGGUCAGGGCAGGGUCAGUGGGACGGAUGCGAGUCUCGGCCUCUCCCUUCCCCGUGACUCACCUUUUUCAGCUCAGAAAGGAGAGCCCAGGGGAAUUCUCCGAGGCCUAAAUAUAGAGCGGGGUUGCCUGACGGCUCUGCCACGCUGCAGUGCAGAAAGGCCAUCGGGGUGGCAGGGGACCUGCCAGGGGAGAGGCUGGGGAGGUCAGGGCUGGGGAAACCCCAUGCCAGCUGCGGUGGCUGUGCUGCUGGUUCAGGGACAGGGCCGGGGGCUGUGCCAGGGCUGGAGUGUGAUCCUUUGGUGCAGGCGAUGCAGCCACCUCCCAGCUCUGGGCUCCUCCGCAGCCUGAGGUGACAUGGGGACGAGUGCUGUGAGCUCGCCGGUACUGUGCCACACUGAGGUACAAGAACUCGAUGAGUUUUUAACACUAGUUUUAGUUUCUGCAGGUUUUUUUUUUUUUUUUAAUUUCCCCUCUAGGCAGGGAGGUGGGAGUCUUGCAGGCUCCUCAAGCUGGCUUAUGUCACAUCAAUUCAGUCAUAUCACAGAAGCAAUAAAGCUAUCAAACAAGC